rnacentral:rRNA from 1 species
AACGAACGCUGGCGGCAGGCUUAACACAUGCAAGUCGAGCGCCCCGCAAGGGGAGCGGCAGACGGGUGAGUAACGCGUGGGAAUCUACCCAUCUCUACGGAAUAACGCAUGGAAACGUGUGCUAAUACCGUAUACGUCCUUCGGGAGAAAGAUUUAUCGGAGAUGGAUGAGCCCGCGUUGGAUUAGCUAGUUGGUGGGGUAAAGGCCUACCAAGGCGACGAUCCAUAGCUGGUCUGAGAGGAUGAUCAGCCACACUGGGACUGAGACACGGCCCAGGCUCCUACGGGAGGCAGCAGUGGGGAAUAUUGGACAAUGGGCGCAAGCCUGAUCCAGCCAUGCCGCGUGAGUGAUGAAGGCCCUAGGGUUGUAAAGCUCUUUCACCGGUGAAGGCAAUGACGGUAACCGGAGAAGAAGCCCCGGCUAACUUCGUGCCAGCCGCCGCAGUAAUAC